rnacentral:rRNA from 1 species
AUUGAACGCUGGCGGCAUGCCUUACACAUGCAAGUCGAACGGCAGCACGGGAGCAAUCCUGGUGGCGAGUGGCGAACGGGUGAGUAAUGUAUCGGAACGUGCCCAGUCGUGGGGGAUAACGCACCGAAAGCUGUGCUAAUACCGCAUACGAUCUAUGGAGGAAAGCGGGGGAUCGCAAGACCUCGCGCGAUUGGAGAGGUCGGUAUCAGAUUAGGUAGUUGGUGGGGUAAGGGCCCACCAAGCCUGCGAUCUGUAGCUGGUCUGAGAGGACGAACAGGAAUACUGGGACGGAGACACGGCGCAGACUCCUAGGGGAGGCAGCAGUGGGGAAUUUUGGAGAAUGGGUGCAAGCCUGAUCCAGGAAUGCCGCGUGAAGGAUGAAGGCCUUCGGGUUGUAAACUGCUGUUAGACGAGACGAAAGGACUCGCUCUAAUACAGGGGGUACAUGACGGUAUCGUAAGAAUAAGCACCGGCUAAGUACGUGCCAGCAGCCGCCGUAA